GGUUGGUAAUGCUUGCUUGAUGGCUUGCCUAAUGUAAUGGUAAUUUGAUUUUAGAACAGCACCAGGACAGACGGUCUGACAAUCUUGGUUCUACAGUGUUGGGCUGUUUCCAUUGCUGCCAAGUUUUCGUCUUUCUCGCAGCUCUUUCCCCAUGACUCUCGGCUGUUUCCCUUGCUGCUCUGCUUCUCCGUCGCCUCAACUUCCAAGUCAGCGGCCAGCGAGAAUAAGUAAUGGUGGCAGUCUGGAUAAAGUGAUGAAUCUGGUUAUUAAAACUGGAAUUCCUUCAGCUUUAACCUCCCCGCUGGAAUCCCUCCGAAAGGGCAACUGGGUUAAGCUUAUUUGAGGUGCAAGUUUUGAGUGCUGGUUUGAUGUAGGAUUUGGUGGAUGUCAGGAACCUUUCUCUUGUUUACUCUCUUGCUGGAGGUGAGCUGUUAUUUUAACUACAAAGGUCGUGACUGCCCGUUAGCAAUCUUAAUUUUUAAUUUGUGGGUGAGGAUGGAGAGAGUUCAACCUUUUGAUGGAAGAAUACUAAUAAUGCUGUACCCGGUGCAAAUUGAUUCUGGGGCUCCUCUAUAUAUUUGUGUGUAAAAUAUCCAUAGUUAUAAUUAAAAUUUCCUGUCUCAUUUGUCGAGGAGCAUUCUGUGGGAGCUUCAAACUCAACCAUAACAAGAUUCUCUUGUGACAAUGGAUAAUUGACUGCAUUGAUUGUGCUGCUGAGGCAUCAGUUGUGAAUGCUGUGCAUGAGGGAAUCAGAGCAGCUAGAGCUAUUGUUCCACUUAGAAAGCCUUGGGUGAUGAUUAGUGUCAAUGAUAAUGAAGAUCUGCAUUUUCGUAAAGUUGAAUUCAACCCGGUAGAUUGCCCGAUGGAUUGUUCAAGGCCUUGUGAGAAUAUUUGUCCGGCUGAUGCAAUCUCAUUUAGGGAACAUCAGUGCUUCAAAGGUAAAGUUAACUUCCCCAGAUCAGGUAACCAGAGG